CCUACGGGAGGCAGCAGUGAGGAAUAUUGGUCAAUGGGCUUACGCCUGAACCAGCCAAGUCGCUUGAGGGAAGACUGCCCUAUGGGUUGUAAACCUCUUUUGUCAGGGAGCAACGCCGGCUACGUGUAGCCGGACUGAGAGUACCUGAAGAAAAAGCAUCGGCUAACUCCGUGCCAGCAGCCGCGGUCAUACGGAGGAUGCGAGCGUUAUCCGGAUUGAUUGGGUUUAAAGGGUGCGUAGGCGGAAUGCCAAGUCAGCGGUAAAAUCGCGGGGCUCAACCUCGCUCCGCCGUUGAAACUGGCGUUCUUGAGUGGGCGAGAAGUAUGCGGAAUGCGUGGUGUAGCGGUGAAAUGCAUAGAUAUCACGCAGAACUCCGAUUGCGAAGGCAGCAUACCGGCGCCCAACUGACGCUGAAGCACGAAAGCGUGGGUAUCGAACAGGAUUAGAUACCCUUGUAGUC
rnacentral:rRNA from 1 species